rnacentral:rRNA from 1 species
UACAGAGGGUGCGAGCGUUAAUCGGAAUUACUGGGCGUAAAGCGUGCGUAGACGGUUAUUUAAGUCGGGUGUGAAAGCCCCGGGCUCAACCUGGGAAUUGCAUUCGAGACUGAAUAGCUAGGGUACGGUAGAGGGAAGCGGAAUUUCCGGUGUAGCGGUGAAAUGCGUAGAUAUCGGAAGGAACACCGGUGGCGAAGGCGGCAUCCUGGACCGAUACUGACGCUGAGGAGCGAAAGCCAGGGGAGCAAACGGG